rnacentral:rRNA from 1 species
ACGAGUGGCGGACGGGUGAGUAAUGUCUGGGAAACUGCCUGAUGGAGGGGGAUAACUACUGGAAACGGUAGCUAAUACCGCAUAACGUCGCAAGACCAAAGAGGGGGACCUUCGGGCCUCUUGCCAUCGGAUGUGCCCAGAUGGGAUUAGCUAGUAGGUGGGGUAACGGCUCACCUAGGCGACGAUCCCUAGCUGGUCUGAGAGGAUGACCAGCCACACUGGAACUGAGACACGGUCCAGACUCCUACGGGAGGCAGCAGUGGGGAAUAUUGCACAAUGGGCGCAAGCCUGAUGCAGCCAUGCCGCGUGUAUGAAGAAGGCCUUCGGGUUGUAAAGUACUUUCAGCGGGGAGGAAGGGAGUAAAGUUAAUACCUUUGCUCAUUGACGUUACCCGCAGAAGAAGCACCGGCUAACUCCGUGCCAGCAGCCGCGGUAAUACG